GACUAAGAGAUGUGUCUGGUGUGGGGGCUGGCUUCUAAUACCUGUACUACUUUGGAUACAGGCUGGAUUACUGCAACCCACUGUAUCUGAAGCUAAAUGUGAAGACAAUGCACAGGCUCCAUUUCAGGGCUGCCCAGAGGAUUCAGGGGGCCUGAAGACCCGGCACUUCGUCAGCGAGUCCCGGAGCGGAAGGACCCCACCGCCGCCAAAUUGCCGCUGAAGACCCGGAGUGGAAGAAGCUCCAGGGGCCCCGAAGCGAGUGAAGGACCCCGUUCCAGGGGCCCCGAAAAACUCUUGUGGGGGCCCCUGCGGGGCCUGGGGCAAAUUGCCCCACUUGCUCCCCCUCUGGGCGGCCCUGCUCCAUUUGGUACAGAACUCAUCUGCUCAUCUUCUCCGUGGUUUAGGCAGCCCAUCAAGCUAUGGACAGAACUUUCAGACAAGGAUGCUGCCACCCCAGAUUCCCUUGAUGGAACAGCAGACUUGUUUUACAAGAUUGCUUAUCUACUAUUGUCUGGGCUGUGCAAUGGCACAACAGAGUCUCCACAGUGCUACUUAUGUAAUAUGAAUUGCUUCUUAGUGCUGCAUCUUAUCAGUGUCCUUCCACGGAGAGAAAUAAAAGGAGCAGAAAUUAUUAACAUUUCUACUAAACACCACAAAUGCUGAAAUAGAUAAUGCAACAGAUUCUUCACAUUAUAUCCUUCCAUCCUCUUCCCUAAAAAGGCACUCAGAGUCACCGAGGUGAUGCAAUAAGGUCUAAUGCAAUGGGAGGAAGUAGGUGAUCCCCAGGAAGAAGAGGAAAGAAAUUUUGUUCCCACAGGCCAGGAACAAGCUGUGAGUGGCUUUCCCCAGUAUGCUGUCAUCUUCUGGAAGAGGGGGUGGACCACGUAGCAGCUUCCGAGACUUCCUGCUGCUGGAGGAAGUGUAGAGUCUCUAGCAGCUGUUCCCUGAGUCUAGGGCGGGUGCAAGGAUGUUUCGCGCCCUAGGUGAAACUUCCACCUUACGCCCCACCCCUCCCUGAGCCCUGUGGCAGCUCUCCACCCCCACCUCCACCCUGUGGCGCCCCCCCCCCCGCUCCUCCCCCGGC